rnacentral:rRNA from 1 species
GCGCGCGCUAACUGCAGUCGAGCGACUGAUUAGAAGCUUGCUUCUAUGACGUUAGCGGCGGACGGGUGAGUAACACGUGGGCAACCUGCCUGUAAGACUGGGAUAACUUCGGGAAACCGAAGCUAAUACCGGAUAGGAUCUUCUCCUUCAUGGGAGAUGAUUGAAAGAUGGUUUCGGCUAUCACUUACAGAUGGGCCCGCGGUGCAUUAGCUAGUUGGUGAGGUAACGGCUCACCAAGGCAACGAUGCAUAGCCGACCUGAGAGGGUGAUCGGCCACACUGGGACUGAGACACGGCCCAGACUCCUACGGGAGGCAGCAGUAGGGAAUCUUCCGCAAUGGACGAAAGUCUGACGGAGCAACGCCGCGUGAGUGAUGAAGGCUUUCGGGUCGUAAAACUCUGUUGUUAGGGAAGAACAAGUACGAGAGUAACUGCUCGUACCUUGACGGUACCUAACCAGAAAGCCACGGCUAACUACGUGCCAGCAGCCGCGGUAAUACGUAGGUGGCAAGCGUUAUCCGGAAUUAUUGGGCGUAAAGCGCGCGCAGGCGGUUUCUUAAGUCUGAUGUGAAAGCCCACGGCUCAACCGUGGAGGGUCAUUGGAAACUGGGGAACUUGAGUGCAGAAGAGAAAAGCGGAAUUCCACGUGUAGCGGUGAAAUGCGUAGAGAUGUGGAGGAACACCAGUGGCGAAGGCGGCUUUUUGGUCUGUAACUGACGCUGAGGCGCGAAAGCGUGGGGAGCAAACAGGAUUAGAUACCCUGGUAGUCCACGCCGUAAACGAUGAGUGCUAAGUGUUAGAGGGUUUCCGCCCUUUAGUGCUGCAUCUAACGCAGUAAGCACUCCGCCUGGGGAGUACGGUCGCAAGACUGAAACUCAGAGGAAUUGACGGGGGCCCGCACAAGCGGGGAACCAGGGGGUUUAAUUCGGAGGAACGGCGAAGAGCCUU